rnacentral:rRNA from 1 species
AGGGUGCAGGGCGGAUGCCUUGGCACUAGGAGCCGAUGAAGGACGUGAUAAGCUGCGAUAAGCUUCGGGGAGUUGCACGUAAACUUUGAUCCGAAGAUUUCCGAAUGAGGAAACUCACUUAGAGUAAUGUCUAAGUAUCAUUAAGUGAAUACAUAGCUUAAUGAGGGGAACUCAGGGAACUGAAACAUCUAAGUACCUGAAGGAAGAGAAAGAAAUUCGAUUCCGUAAGUAGCGGCGAGCGAACGCGGAUUAGCCCAAACCAAUAAAGUUUUCUUUAUUGGGGUUGCGGACAUAUCAUAACGAAGAGGUAUCGUAAUUGAAGAGGUUUGGAAAGACCCACCACAGAAGGUAAUAGUCCUGUAUGUUAAACGAGAAGACUUUAGAUAUGAUCCAGAGUACCACGGGACACGUGAAACCCUGUGGGAAGCAGGAGGGACCACCCUCCAAGGCUAAAUACUACCUAGUGACCGAUAGCGUAUAGUACCGUGAGGGAAAGGUGAAAAGAACCCCGGGAGGGGAGUGAAAUAGAACCUGAAACCCUGCACUUACAAGCUGUGGAAGCACAUUUCUUGUGUGACCGCGUACUUUUUGUAGAACGGGCCAACGAGUUACGUUAAGUAGCAAGGUUAAGCACUUAAGGUGCGGAGCCGUAGCGAAAGCGAGUUUUAACUGAGCGUUCAGUUACUUGACGUAGACCCGAAACCGGGCGACCUACCCAUGAGCAGGAUGAAGCGAAAGUAAAAUUUCGUGGAGGUCCGAACCCACGAGCGUUGAAAAGCUCGGGGAUGACUUGUGGGUAGCGGUGAAAUUCCAAUCGAGCCCGGAGAUAGCUGGUUCUCCCCGAAAUAGCUUUAGGGCUAGCCUCAAGGUGAGAGAUACGGAGGUAGAGCACUGAAUGUCCUAGGGGGUAUUGCACCUACCGAAGACUAUCAAACUCCGAAUGCCGUCAUCUUAUACUUGGGAGUCAGACUGUGGGUGAUAAGAUUCAUAGUCGAAAGGGCAACAGCCCAGAUCGUCAGCUAAGGUCCCUAAAUGUAAGUUAAGUGGUAAAGGAUGUGGGAUUGCACAGACAACCAGGAUGUUGGCUUAGAAGCAGCCACUCAUUCAAAGAGUGCGUAAUAGCUCACUGGUCGAGUGAUCCUGCGCCGAAGAUUUCCGGGGCUAAAACUUACUACCGAAGCUACGGCAUCAGUAAUGAUGGGUAGGGGAGCUUCCCAUACGGGUUGAAGCAUGACCGUAAGGACAUGUGGACAGUAUGGGAGUGAGAAUGUUGGCAUGAGUAGCGAGAUGUGGGUGGGAAUCCCACAGGCCGUAAACCCAAGGUUUCCAGGGGAAGGUUCGUCCGCCCUGGGUUAGUCGGGACCUAAGCUGAGGCCGAAAGGCGUAGGUGAUGGACAACAGGUUGAUAUUCCUGUACUACCGAUAACCGUUUGAGAGAAGGGAUGACACAGUAGGAUAAGCUAAGCACACUGUUGGUUAUGUGUGCCCAAGCAUUGAGGCAGUCAAAGUAGGCAAAUCCGCUUUGAUAAUGCUGGGAUGUGAUGGGGAGCGAAAUUUAGUAGCGAAGUAGCUGAUUUCACACUGUCAAGAAAAGUCUCUAUCGAGGUUAAAGGUACCCGUACCGCAAACCGACACAGGUGGGUGAGGAGAGUAUCCUAAGGCCAGCGAGAGAACUGUUGUUAAGGAACUCGGCAAAAUGACCCCGUAACUUAGGGAUAAGGGGUGCCACCAUCAGGUGGCCGCAGAGAAUAGGCCCAAGCGACUGUUUACCAAAAACAUAGGUUUCUGCUAAGUCGCAAGACGAUGUAUAGGAGCUGACGCCUGCCCGGUGCUGGAAGGUUAAGGGGAUCUGUUAGAGCAAUCGAAGCAGUGAACUUAAGCCCCAGUAAACGGCGGCCGUAACUAUAACGGUCCUAAGGUAGCGAAAUUCCUUGUCGGGUAAGUUCCGACCCGCACGAAAGGCGUAACGAUUUGGGCACUGUCUCAACAACAGACUCGGUGAAAUUGUAAUUCCGGUGAAGAUGCCGGAUACCUGCGACAGGACGGAAAGACCCCAUGGAGCUUUACUGUAGCUUGACAUUGGGUCUUGGUACUACAUGUACAGGAUAGGUGGGAGGCUUUGAAACCAGGACGCCAGUUUUGGCGGAGCCAUCCUUGGGAUACCACCCUUGUAGUACUGGGACUCUAACCAUAGGCCAUGAAUCUGGUCUUGGGACACUGUCAGGUGGGCAGUUUGACUGGGGCGGUCGCCUCCCAAAAGGUAACGGAGGCGCUCAAAGGUUCUCUCAGUACGGUCGGAAAUCGUACGUAGAGUGUAAAGGCAAAAGAGAGCUUGAUUGCAAGACAUACAGGUCGAGCAAGGAUGAAAAUCGGACUUAGUGAUCCGGUGGUUCUGCGUGGAAGGGCCAUCGCUCAACGGAUAAAAGCUACCCUGGGGAUAACAGGCUUAUCUCCCCCAAGAGUCCACAUCGACGGGGAGGUUUGGCACCUCGAUGUCGGCUCAUCACAUCCUGGGGCUGUAGUAGGUCCCAAGGGUUGGGCUGUUCGCCCAUUAAAGUGGUACGCGAGCUGGGUUCAGAAC